CCAGACUCCUACGGGAGGCAGCAGUGGGGAAUAUUGGACAAUGGACCAAGAGUCUGAUCCAGCAAUUCUGUGUGCACGAUGACGUUUUUCGGAAUGUAAAGUGCUUUCAGUUGGGAAGAAAAAAAUGACGGUACCAACAGAAGAAGUGACGGCUAAAUACGUGCCAGCAGCCGCGGUAAUACGUAUGUCACAAGCGUUAUCCGGAUUUAUUGGGCGUAAAGCGCGUCUAGGUGGUUAUGUAAGUCUGAUGUGAAAAUGCAGGGCUUAACUCUGUAUUGCGUUGGAAACUGUGUAACUAGAGUACUGGAGAGGUAAGCGGAACUACAAGUGUAGAGGUGAAAUUCGUAGAUAUUUGUAGGAAUGCCGAUGGGGAAGCCAGCUUACUGGACAGAUACUGACGCUGAAGCGCGAAAGCGUGGGUAGCAAACAGGAUUAGAUACCCUGGUAGUCCACGCCGUAAACGAUGAUUACUAGGUGUUGGGGGUCGAACCUCAGCGCCCAAGCAAACGCGAUAAGUAAUCCGCCUGGGGAGUACGUACGCAAGUAUGAAACUCAAAGGAAUUGACGGGGGCCCGCACAAG
rnacentral:rRNA from 1 species